rnacentral:lncRNA from 1 species
CAAAAAGUAACUAAUGGAACUCUGAGGUUGUCCCAUUGUUUCCUAUUGGGAAAUAUAGGCUGAGCAGCGUACUCUGUUGUCAUCAAACGCUACCCCAAAAUGCCGUUUGCCCUUGGAACGCUGAGCUCCCCCAUUGUUUUCCUAUGGAGAGGCAUGCUGGUAUAUUUCGCCAAAUAUCUCGCAAUGUGUAUAUUUUGAUUUUCUCAAGUUGGACACCAUUUUAAAUCAGGAUAAUCUCCUCUUUCUAAUUACAUAAGGUUGGGUAGCGUACUCUGCUGUCAUCGAUCGCCAGACCAGAAAUAGUUAAAAGUUUCAAUUUCUUCCCUACUUCCUCAUUAUGCAGACCCUACAACAAGUGCAGCUGAAAAUUCACUCAUCAAAACCACUGCUACAGUUGCUGGCGAUCAUGGCAAUGCAGUGACUAGCCCACAGAGUUUGGCUAGGCUAGUCUCUGUCAACGGUGAAGCUAGCAGAGCCCCCCUCCCAGUACCGCCACCAGCCUCCUUGCCGCCACCCAGCUAAGCAGCAGCUGCUAGCAAUGCUAAAUCACACGGGCCAGAGCCACUUACAUCCAGAGGAGCAACCCCAGAUGACCUUGGGGUUGAGAAGCCCAACCAGGUCACAUUAGGUAAGUUUCCAGUAAGAUUGUAUUCAGGGAAGAAGCUGUCUUUUGGUAAGAAUUCAGUACAAACUGUUGCAGCCUUUUGUUUCUCCUGAUGAAAUUUCGGUCCAGCACGUCAUCAGAUUCAACCUUUACCAUUAAAGGGUUCUGUGAUUGGAAGCAUGCUUUACAGAGAGAUAAAGGACUGAACGAACAUGCCACCUCGAAAUAACACUUAACGUGAGGCUAUGGAGAGAGAGAAACGCGUAAAGAGACAGGGCAGGAAAUAUCAACACUGGUUGACACGGAUCAGCUUGCACGUCAUCGAUAUUACCUGGG